CCUACGGGAGGCAGCAGUGAGGAAUAUUGGUCAAUGGACGAGAGUCUGAACCAGCCACGUAGCGUGAAGGAUGACUGCCCUAUGGGUUGUAAACUUCUUUUAUAUGGGGAUAAAACGUUCCACGUGUGGGAUUUUGUAUGUACCAUAUGAAUAAGGAUAGGCUCACUCCGUGCCAGCAGCCGCGGUAAUACGGAGGAUCUGAGCGUUAUCCGGAUUUAUUGGGUUUAAAGGGAGCGUAGGUGGAUUGUUAAGUCAGUUGUGAAAGUUUGCGGCUCAACCGUAAAAUUGCAGUUGAAACUGGCAGUCUUGAGUACAGUAGAGGUGGGCGGAAUUCGUGGUGGAGCGGUGAAAUGCUUAGAUAUCACGAAGAACUCCGAUUGCGAAGGCAGUUCACUGGACUGCAACUGACACUGAGGCUCGAAAGUGUGGGUAUCAAACAGGAUUAGAUACCCCGGUAGUC
rnacentral:rRNA from 1 species